AUACGUAGGGUGCGAGCGUUGUCCGGAAUUACUGGGCGUAAAGAGCUCGUAGGUGGUUUGUCGCGUUGUUCGUGAAAACUCACAGCUUAACUGUGGGCGUGCGGGCGAUACGGGCAGACUAGAGUACUGCAGGGGAGACUGGAAUUCCUGGUGUAGCGGUGGAAUGCGCAGAUAUCAGGAGGAACACCGGUGGCGAAGGCGGGUCUCUGGGCAGUAACUGACGCUGAGGAGCGAAAGCGUGGGGAGCGAACAGGAUUAGAUACCCUGGUAGUCCACGCCGUAAACGGUGGGUACUAGGUGUGGGUUCCUUCCUUGGGAUCCGUGCCGUAGCUAACGCAUUAAGUACCCCGCCUGGGGAGUACGGCCGCAAGGCUAAAACUCAAAGGAAU
rnacentral:rRNA from 1 species